rnacentral:sRNA from 1 species
GCCAGGUGUGGUGGCACACACCUGUAAUCCCAGUGGCUCAGGAGGCUAAGGCAUGAGGAUCGCGAGUUCAAAACCAGCCUCAGCAAACGCAAGGUGCUAAGCAACUCAGUGAGACCCUGUCUCUA